rnacentral:rRNA from 1 species
CUUUUUUAUAGACUGGAUUUAUAUAUUUAUAACUAAAAUUAGGUUAAAUUUUUUUUUUACAGAGUUAAAUAUUUAGAUUGAUGAAAGAUGUAUAAUAGUGACAGGGAUUAGAUACCCCAUUAAUGUACAUUGUAGCUUUGUCUUAGUUAAUAUAACUAAAAUAAUUUGGCAGUGAGCGACUCUUUUUAGGGGAAGGUGUGGUGUAAAGGAUGUUCCGCCUAAUAAUUUACUUUCGUUAUGUUGGUGUAUAUCUGGUUUAAUAUUAUCGUUGAGUAAGUGAGUUUGUGUAAUUUUAUUUAAGCCAAGUCUAUGUGCUGCUUAUGAAAGUAUUCAUGCGUUACAUUUAUAAGGUUUUGGUUGUAAUACUAAAAUAUUUAGGACUUAAAAGUAAUGUUCAAUAAGUUUGUGAGUGUGAAGUAAGUUUAGCUCAUGUACACACCGCCCGUCACCCUCGAUGCAUAUUGAGGUAAGUCGUAACAAGGUAAUU